AGACGUCUACAUUAGAUACCCGGGUAGUCCCAGCCGUAAACUAUGCGCGUUAGGUGUAUCGGUGACCACGAGUCACCGAGGUGCCGAAGGGAAACCGUGAAACGUGCCGCCUGGGAAGUACGGUCGCAAGGCUGAAACUUAAAGGAAUUGGCGGGGGAGCACCACAACGGGUGGAGCCUUGCGGUUUAAUUGGACUCAACGCCGGGAAGCUCACCGGAUAAGACAGCGGAAUGAUUACCGGGCUGAAGACUCUGCAUGACUAGCUG
rnacentral:rRNA from 1 species